rnacentral:rRNA from 1 species
GGACGAACGCUGGCGGCGUGCCUAACACAUGCAAGUCGAGCGGGGACAUUGCGACGGAGACGAAGUACUCGUACGGAGUCAAAGAUGUAAUGUUCUAGCGGCGGACGGGUGAGUAACGCGUGAGCAACCUGUCCCUUACAGGGGGAUAACACAGCGAAAGUUGUACUAAUACCGCAUAAGACCACAGGAUGACAUCGUCCAGGGGUCAAAGGAGCAAUCCGGUAAGGGGUGGGCUCGCGUCCGAUUAGAUAGUUGGUGAGGUAACGGCCCACCAAGUCGACGAUCGGUAGCCGACCUGAGAGGGUGAUCGGCCACAUUGGGACUGAGACACGGCCCAAACUCCUACGGGAGGCAGCAGUGGGGAAUAUUGGGCAAUUGGGGGGAAACCCUGACCCAGCAACGCCGCGUGAGGGAAGAAGGUUUUCGGAUCGUAAACCUCUGUCCUUGGUGAAGAGGAAGAGACGGUAGCCAAGGAGGAAGCCCCGGCUAACUACGUGCCAGCCGCGGC